rnacentral:lncRNA from 1 species
GCAGGUGCAGUUCUGGGCUGAGCUGUGGGUUUUGUGCCCAUGUGUGGUUCUCAAAUGUCCCGAGUUCCAUGGUUUGACAGUUUGUGUCCAGGUGCAUAUGGGAUUGUUGUCUCAGGUGUCCCUGAGCCCCCGUGUGCUGGCAGAGCUGUGCAGGUUCUGUGUGUGCAGUUAUAGGUGGGAGUGUGCAGGAGGAGAGUGGCACCUGUGGUCAGUGUGGCCCUAAACCUGGAAUGUUUUGUGCUUCUUGCAGGUGUCCGGUUGUGCAUGGGAUGUUCUGGCCAGCCCAGAUGCAUGAUCCAGCAUUUUUGAGAGUCCCCAUGGCUGCAGGUCCCAGUGUGCUAUGUCAGGUGUCUGGUUUUGCCUGGGCCGUUCUGGCCCGCCCAGGUGUAUGAUCCAGCAUUUUUGAGAGUCCCCAUGGCUGCAGGUCCUGGUGGUGUGUGUCAGGUUUCUGGUUGAGCAUGGGAUGUUCUGGCCAGCCCAGAUGGAUGAUCCAGCAUUUUUGAGAGUCCCCAUGGCUGCAGGUCCCAUUGUGCUGUGUCAGGUGAGGUUUGGAAUGACUCAGGGGUUG